rnacentral:rRNA from 1 species
CGUGUAGGCGGGUCGUUAAGUUGGGGGUGAAAUCCCGAGGCUCAACCUCGGAACUGCCUUCAAAACUGGCGACCUGGACUCAAGUAGAGGCAAGUGGAAUUGCGAGUGUAGAGGUGAAAUUCGUAGAUAUUCGCAGGAACACCAGUGGCGAAGGCGACUUGCUGGACUUGUAGUGACGCUGAGACGCGAAAGCGUGGGGAGCAAACA